rnacentral:misc_RNA from 1 species
GAUGAAGAACGCAGCGAAAUGCGAUAAGUAAUGUGAAUUGCAGAAUUCAGUGAAUCAUCGAAUCUUUGAACGCAUCUUGCGCUCCUUGGUAUUCUGAGGAGCAUGCCUGUUUGAGUGCCAUUAAAUUCUCAACUACACUGACUUUGAAUUGGUGUGGCUUGGAUUUGGGGGGAAAAUUGUUGUGGGCUUUUUGUAUAGUCUGCUCCCCUGAAAUUGAUUAGCGGUACCUUUGUGGAACUGUCUACAGGUGUGAUAAUUAUCUACAUCUUAGACAUCUGCUGGAAUGCUGCUUUCUAAACCUUACUUGUAUUGACAAUCUUGACCUCAAAUCAGGUAGGACUACCCGCUGAACUUAAGCAUAUCAAUAAGCGGAGGA